UGAAAUGCCGUGACGGGGAAUAGUACAUGAACAUUUCCUUCAGAGAGGAAAACGAACGCUGAGAGUUUUCCAGGAACCCUGUUGAUGGAAGUCGCCCUUGAUGCAGCUUCUUUGAAUAUGAGUAGGAGAAGCCGGUUAGAAGCCGUUAUUUUAGUCGAGUGUACAGGAGGAGUAUAUCCUGUAAAUUAAGGUGGUACCACGGAAAUCAAUCCCUUUCGUCCUUUAU
rnacentral:ncRNA from 1 species